rnacentral:rRNA from 1 species
AUUGAACGCUGGCGGCAGGCUUAACACAUGCAAGUCGAGCGGGGUGAUGGUGCUUGCACUAUCACUUAGCGGCGGACGGGUGAGUAAUGCUUAGGAAUCUGCCUAUUAGUGGGGGACAACAUCUCGAAAGGGACGCUAAUACCGCAUACGUCCUACGGGAGAAAGCAGGGGAUCACUUGUGACCUUGCGCUAAUAGAUGAGCCUAAGUCGGAUUAGCCAGUUGGUGGGGUAAAGGCCUACCAAGGCGACGAUCUGUAGCGGGUCUGAGAGGAUGAUCCGCCACACUGGGACUGAGACACGGCCCAGACUCCUACGGGAGGCAGCAGUGGGGAAUAUUGGACAAUGGGGGGAACCCUGAUCCAGCCAUACCGCGUGUGUGAAGAAGGCCUUAUGGUUGUAAAGCACUUUAAGCGAGGAGGAGGCUCUUUUGGUUAAUACCCAAGAUGAGUGGACGUUACUCGCAGAAUAAGCACCGGCUAACUACGUGCCAGCCGCCGCUGUAA